AUGAAUGGACAACUACAUUACCAUGUCUCUUCUGCCACAGAGAAACGGGACAUGAGGCACUGUAACAGCAGCUUCUUCUACACCCUCUGGACAACCAACGCUUUCCAGUUCCAGGAGGCAGAUCUCUCUGAAUCACCUACCACCAUUCCUGAAGUUGAUCUACUGCUACUUUUGCUAGUUCUACCACAGGAAAGGGGCUUUAAGAAGGAUGCUUGAGCUCAACACCCAUACCAGCAGGGUGAGAAUCAGCCCCUUUCGUUCCUUCAGCCAGGUAAUAUGCUUUUUCCUUUUUUUUUUCUUUUUUUCAUUUUCCUUUUAAUGCAGAACAGGGCUACUGAUUACAAAGAGGCAGUUUGACUCCAGCAAUAGGUCUUCUUCACUAAUCCUCACUGUCAUGGAAAUUCCAGCUGCUACAAGAAUAAGAGGCUCAAUCCAUAUUUGCCAGCUCUAAUAUGAAAUCUGUCAGAGCCCAAAUUAAUGAGUUCCAAAUUCCUUACAUCACGAUAACAGGUUAAGACUGGUCAAUUAAUUACAUAAAUCCUUCCCGAUUCAUUGUGCGUUUGCAGCCCAGAUUGUGUCUUACAUUACUCCAUGACACAGGCCUUUUGGCUCCUGUUGUUCUGCAGAAAGGCCCCAUUUAAGUGGAGGCUGCCUGCCACAGCAAAAUGUUAAAUGUCACCCGUUAAAUUUGCACUUUUCUGUAAUUGCUUUUGUUAAAAAAAAAAAAAAAUUAAAUUACAGCACAGGGCUCCCAGUACACCACUACGCAGAGGGCUGGGGUUGUACUGAAUGGAUCCCAGGGCAAGCAAGUGAUCGUUUACGGUUUACACAGGUGUGAUAGUUUACAGUCUUUUUACCUGGUGCCCGGUAGGCAGCAGAACCCAGAACAUGCACGUUUAUGAAAAAUAUACCAAAUUUCCCUAAGAUCGAUGGCAACAGAAACAUGUAUUCAGAAGAUUCUUUUAUGAAAAGAUUAAAAUAGGAUUCUUUAGCCAGUUUCCUUUUUGUUUACCAGUGCAAGUAUUAGAUAUAUAAAACACUUGAUCUAAUCACCUUUUCAGGACUAUAUAUUGUAUAGAUGUGAGUUAUACUUAUUCAGGUCUUUGUGUUGAAUGUGGCUGAUGGUUUUGCUAUUUGUAACUGGCACACACCUACAGAGGGCGAAUAAUUGAGGAUUAAGAUCUCAAAAGACUUAAAAAAUUAUCCAGACUUUAAU
rnacentral:lncRNA from 1 species